rnacentral:rRNA from 1 species
UACAGAGGGGGCGAGCGUUGUCCGGAUUUAUUGGGCGUAAAGAGCGUGUAGGCGGCUUUACAGGUCCGUUGUGAAAACUCGAGGCUCAACCUCGAGACGCCGGUGGAAACCGUAAAGCUAGAGUCCGGAAGAGGAGAGUGGAAUUCCUGGUGUAGCGGUGAAAUGCGCAGAUAUCAGGAAGAACACCCGUGGCGAAGGCGGCUCUCUGGGACGGUACUGACGCUGAGACGCGAAAGCGUGGGGAGCGAACAGG